AUGAAAAAAAGAAAUCCUACAUUUGAGGGGAUUGCCAACAUCUGCUGGAUCAUUGAAAAAGCAAGAGAGUUCCAGAAACACAUCUAUUUCUGCUUUAUUGACUAUGCCAAAGCCUUUGACUGUGUGAAGCACAAUAAACUGUGGAAAAUUCUGAGAGAGAUGGGAAUACCAGACCACCUGACCUGCCUCUUGAGAAACCUGUAUGCAGGUCAGGAAGCAACAGUUAGAGCUGGACAUGGACCAACAGACUGGUUCCAAAUAGGAAAAGGAAUACGUCAAGGCUGUAUAUUGUCACCCUGCUUAUUUAACUUAUAUGCAGAGUACAUCAUGAGAAAAGCUGGGCUGGAAGAAGCAGAAGCUGGAAUCAAGAUUGCCGGGAGAAAUAUCAAUAACCUCAGAUAUGCAGAUGACACUACCCUUAAGGCAGAAAGCAAAGAACUAAAGAGCCUCUUGAUGAAAGUGAAAGAGGAGAGAGAAAAAGUUGGCUUAAAGCUCAACAUUCAGAAAACGAACAUCAUGGCAUCCGGUCCCAUCACUUCAUGGCAAAUAGAUGGGGAAACAGUGGAAACAGUGUCAGACUUUAUUUUUUUGGGCUCCAAAAUCACUGCGGAUGGUGACUGCAGCCAUGAAAUUAAAAGACGCUUACUCCUUGGAAGAAAAGUUACGACCAACCUAGAUAGCAUAUUCAAAAGCAGAGACAUUACUUUGUCAACAAAGGUCCGUCUAGUCAAGGCUAUGGUUUUUCCUGUGGUCAUGUAUGGAUGUGAGAGUUGGACUGUGAAGAAAGCUGAGCGCCGAAGAAUUGAUGCUUUUGAACUGUGGUGUUGGAGAAGACUCUUGAGAGUCCCUUGGACUGCAAGGAGAUCCAACCAGCCCAUCCUAAAGGAGACCAGUCCUGGGUAUUCAUUAGAAGUACUGACGCUGAGGCUGAAACUCCAGUACUUUGGCCACCUCAUGAGAAGAGUUGAUUCAUUGGAAAAGACCCUGAAGCUGGAAGGGAUUGGGGUUAGGAGGACGACAGAGGAUAAAAUGGUUGGAUGGCAUCACCAACUCAAUGCACGUGAGUUUGAGUGA
rnacentral:lncRNA from 1 species